AUGCCAACCAGGUUUGCUGCCUGUGAGGGGAACUCGAGGUGCUCUUUCCGGCCGCAUCUCCACCACGACCGCAACGUGUUCGAAACUUUUCUCACAAGGUACCAUGGAUGGUGGGAGUAUUUAUUUCACAACUUCAUUUUUUCAUCGGAUGAUUCGUUCUCGGAUGACGAAGACCUUGUGGUGGCUGCAUUGGUCAUCAAUGAACACAUUGUUGGGCAGCGGCCUCGGUUCAAGAGAUCAAUCCUGGAUCAUGCUUCGGCCUUGAAUCGCAAUAGGGAGAGCGGCCGCGCCCUACUCUAUGCCGAUUACUUUGAGAACAUCGCGCUCUUCAAACCAGUGAACUCACCUUGA
rnacentral:rRNA from 1 species